UAUUGUUCAAACAUAUACUGUU
rnacentral:miRNA from 1 species